ACUCCUUAACAACUUAAAGCUUUAUCCCUCUGAGUACCAGAAAAGUGAUUUGAGUAGUUAUUGAGCAGGGAGAAUGAACUGCUUGCUCCGGGCAGGGAGGAAGCUUAUGGAAAUGAUAUUAGACCUUCAGCAAAGUGCACAGCUGCAUCAUACAGAAGCCGAGACUCAAAUUGACAGGCAAAUAAGCCAGAUCACGGAAGGGGCCUCUGUGUGGCAGCUCUGAGCUCCCAAGUGUUGGACAACUAGGCAAAAAGUGCACUGGAACAGGGCAGAAAAUAUCACACUAACUUCAGGCAACUGUUGCAUUUUCAUGGCCUGGAAAGUAACAUUUUCUGUAGAUGUCAACUUCUGUCUGGUGUGAUGCUCCAUUCUUCUGGUGAUGUCACAUGCAGCAUUGAGUAAUAUUGGUAAAAUGGAAGAGGUCUCUUAGAAUAAGGUGUCCACCUGCAGUUCAGUUUUGCAGCUGGAUCAUUUGUAUCACUUCACUAACUGCUGAGCAAGAGAAGCAAAUCUUGGGAGCAUGAUCAUUGUGAUACCCUCAUGAUUUCUUUUUCAAUAAUUCUCUUCAGGGCUGUGAUUGUAACUGAUCAGUGAAAGAAAAAAUUUCAAAAGAAAAAGGAAACUGAAGAAGUUAAUUGUACCAGAGCAGAAUCCAGCGAAGUGAGAAUGAAAAUGAAAUGAACCAUGAGAAACUCCUACCUGUCUUGUUUGGAGCUACAGCAAAAGCUGUGAAUACACAGUACUGCCUCUGCAUCACUGCUUGAACUGGGAUAGCUCUGGUGCCUCCUCUCUGCCCAUAGUACUCACUGCUGCCCCUUGCCAUAGAGAUGAAGAAGUUGUGCCUGAGUUACAACAGGUGGGUCGACUGGAAUCCUAUGAGAGUAUGAGCAAGACAUAAUGGAUUUCAUUUCCAGUAAGGAUCCACAAAGUCAAAACAUUAGUGAACUUUGUGUGUGUCUGCAAGGGGUAUAAAAUGGAAAGGCAAGGAAAGCAAUUUAUUAAAGCCAAGCUGAACCAAGCAUAGAUGCCUUGUCAUCCAUUCCAAAAUGGGGAGUGUUGCCCUUCCACUCAUGCAAAAUGUCAGGUCAAUCUUUCUGCAACUUUCAUUUGCUCUGCUUGUCAUCAUUUCCUUGGCCUCAGGAAAGACUGCCUGACUUGUUUGUGUAAACCUGAUGACAGAACUUGGACAAACAGGAAGAUAUCUGGAAAGUAACAAGUUACUAUUAAUGUGGAAGUUUCUAAAAGAGGAAAGAUUCUUCUGAAAGAAGAAGGACUGCCGAUUGUCAGGGCUCCAUGCUUUGAGGGUGCUGAUUCAUAUUUAAGAGAAACUCCACUGGAGAUGGCAACACAGAUUAUAUGAUCAUAAAAUCAGUAAUGCCUAAGCACAGAGGAAGAGGCUUAUUCACACAAGACUCACUGAUUUAAAGAGGAGCCAAAAAAAAACUUGUGAGAAGAAUUAGUUCUCUCUAGCCAUAUUUGCAGUGGGGGGACUUCAGCUCAGGGAAGGCUGUACUGCCUAGCUGCUCCUGGAGGUCCAUGGAAAAGGGAUAUGGCCACCACUUCCCAGGAGCUUGGCUGAGGCUGCCACCACACUCAGACUAAGCCACUGGGGUCACAGGAGUGGGAUGCUAGAAGACAUUUUGUGACUUCCACAGGAUCUGAAGUUUCAGCCACUGGAAUUUCCUUCCAAGGCCUUUGGUUGACCAAUGGGAGACUUAGAAGGCAUGAAAAGAACUGACCAGUUGUCUAACCUAAUAACUUCUCAGAAGAAAAUGCUCCAGUACUAGUUUUGGACUCCAAGGAAACUAAGAAAUGAAGUUGUAGCUUGGAUUCAGUCAUUCUUUAUGGCAUUUGGGCAUGUAAAACCCUGAUGAACCAUAAGCAAAAUGAAAGAAAGGACAAUUGUAAACAAGGUCUUUCAGCGCGAAUUUUAAAUCCAGGAUGACAAAUGGAGGUAUAUCAAUGCAACAACUACAGCAACUUCAAUCAUUUUCCUAUAUGUAGUUACUCAAAAUUCAAGUUGACAGGUAUGCCUCACCUAAAUUCUGAUAUGUGUCAUCUCCUGAUUUACAAAUGCUUGGUUUUGCGGAACAAAUAAAAUUCUUACCCUGUUACUUAAUGGUGCUGAAGAUAUUUCCUCUCUUAUCUUUUGUUAUCUUCUUUUUCUGUUGCUACUCAUAUCUGUCACCAGUCAUAUAUUUAAAUGCUUCCAUAGAUAACCUGUUCUAUGACUUUCUCAAACUUCUAUUUUAAUUCACAAUGUUUUUUCCCUUUCUUUCUGUAUCAUCAGUGUACAAUCUCCAGAGUACCAAGCAACUCACAGAGCAGCUUGAAAAGCUGCAUCACAGUGAACUCAAUGUCUGAGAGUCAGUAUUCUUUGCAAAUGCUAAUGGCUUUGAGCAAAUCAGUUUAUUUUUCAGUGUUUCCCUGUUCCCACCAUUUCUAGUAAUGCAGAUAGAGCUAUUCUCUUUUCUGAGCAAAAUGUAAUCUGGCAAAUUGGGUUGGUAGCAGGAAAAGGGGAGAGCUUUCAUCAUCAGGAUAAAAUGGACCUAAAGGUUUUAUAAAUUAAAGGCCAAUUAUUCCCCGGGGUGCAUGGUGGGCUUUCCACAAGCAAUCAGUCUUGUGAAUCUGAAGACAGA